GACGAACGCUGGCGGCGUGCCUAAUACAUGCAAGUCGAGCGGACAGAUGGGAGCUUGCUCCCUGAUGUUAGCGGCGGACGGGUGAGUAACACGUGGGUAACCUGCCUGUAAGACUGGGAUAACUCCGGGAAACCGGGGCUAAUACCGGAUGCUUGUUUGAACCGCAUGGUUCAGACAUAAAAGGUGGCUUCGGCUACCACUUACAGAUGGACCCGCGGCGCAUUAGCUAGUUGGUGAGGUAACGGCUCACCAAGGCGACGAUGCGUAGCCGACCUGAGAGGGUGAUCGGCCACACUGGGACUGAGACACGGCCCAGACUCCUACGGGAGGCAGCAGUAGGGAAUCUUCCGCAAUGGACGAAAGUCUGACGGAGCAACGCCGCGUGAGUGAUGAAGGUUUUCGGAUCCUAAAGCUCUGUUGUUAGGGAAGAACAAGUGCCGUUCAAUUAGGGCGGCACCUUGACGGUACCUAACCAGAAAGCCACGGCUAACUACGUGCCAGCAGCCGCGGUAAUACGUAGGUGGCAAGCGUUGUCCGGAAUUAUUGGGCGUAAAGGGCUCGCAGGCGGUUUCUUAAGUCUGAUGUGAAAGCCCCCGGCUCAACCGGGGAGGGUCAUUGGAAACUGGGGAACUUGAGUGCAGAAGAGGAGAGUGGAAUUCCCCGUGUAGCGGUGAAAUGCGUAGAGAUGUGGAGGAACACCAGUGGCGAAGGCGACUCUCUGGUCUGUAACUGACGCUGAGGAGCGAAAGCGUGGGGAGCGAACAGGAUUAGAUACCCUGGUAGUCCACGCCGUAAACGAUGAGUGCUAAGUGUUAGGGGGUUUCCGCCCCUUAGUGCUGCAGCUAACGCAUUAAGCACUCCGCCUGGGGAGUACGGUCGCAAGACUGAAACUCAAAGGAAUUGACGGGGG
rnacentral:rRNA from 1 species